AGAGCACAUUAUGAUUGGGCUUA
rnacentral:siRNA from 1 species